GAUGAACGAUGGCGGCGUGCCUAAUACAUGCAAGUCGAGCGAACGGACGAGAAGCUUGCUUCUCUGAUGUUAGCGGCGGACGGGUGAGUAACACGUGGAUAACCUACCUAUAAGACUGGGAUAACUUCGGGAAACCGGAGCUAAUACCGGAUAAUAUUUUGAACCGCAUGGUUCAAAAGUGAAAGACGGUCUUGCUGUCACUUAUAGAUGGAUCCGCGCUGCAUUAGCUAGUUGGUAAGGUAACGGCUUACCAAGGCAACGAUGCAUAGCCGACCUGAGAGGGUGGUCGGCCACACUGGAACUGAGACACGGUCCAGACUCCUACGGGAGGCAGCAGUAGGGAAUCUUCCGCAAUGGGCGAGAGCCUGACGGAGCAACGCCGCGUGAGUGAUGAAGGUCUUCGGAUCGUAAAACUCUGUUAUUAGGGAAGAACAUAUGUGUAAGUAACUGUGCACAUCUUGACGGUACCUAAUCAGAAAGCCACGGCUAACUACGUG
rnacentral:rRNA from 1 species